AGCGAACGCUGGCGGCAGGCCUAAUACAUGCAAGUCGAGCGGUCCCUUCGGGGGCAGCGGCGGACGGGUGAGUAACGCGUGGGAACGUGCCCUUUGGUACGGAACAACUGAGGGAAACUUCAGCUAAUACCGUAUGUGCCCUUCGGGGGAAAGAUUUAUCGCCAUUGGAGCGGCCCGCGUUGGAUUAGGUAGUUGGUGAGGUAAAGGCUCACCAAGCCUACGAUCCAUAGCUGGUCUGAGAGGAUGAUCAGCCACACUGGGACUGAGACACGGCCCAGACUCCUACGGGAGGCAGCAGUAGGGAAUCUUGCGCAAUGGGCGAAAGCCUGACGCAGCCAUGCCGCGUGAAUGAUGAAGGUCUUAGGAUUGUAAAAUUCUUUCACCGGGGACGAUAAUGACGGUACCCGGAGAAGAAGCCCCGGCUAACUUCGUGCCAGCAGCCGCGGUAAUACGAAGGGGGCUAGCGUUGCUCGGAAUUACUGGGCGUAAAGGGAGCGUAGGCGGAUAGUUUAGUCAGAGGUGAAAGCCCAGGGCUCAACCUUGGAAUUGCCUUUGAUACUGGCUAUCUUGAGUAUGGAAGAGGUAUGUGGAACUCCGAGUGUAGAGGUGAAAUUCGUAGAUAUUCGGAAGAACACCAGUGGCGAAGGCGACAUACUGGUCCAUUACUGACGCUGAGGCUCGAAAGCGUGGGGAGCAAACAGG
rnacentral:rRNA from 1 species